GGAUCUCCUGCAGACCCCCGCCCUCAUCAGCGAAGAAGUCUCCGGCGCAGCAGUCGACACCACCGGCGACGCCUAUGAGAUGGACCACCUUCGAGGCUCCCACAUGCAUCGUCUGUUGCAGAAGUAAUCAUCGAUAGUAAUCUGAGCCUGGUUAUUAAAUUACCAGAGCUAGUUCUAAUAUAUGUGAUUUCAUAAACACGCAGUGUUUAUGAUUUGAAAAAAAUGCACUACCUCCGACUGACCUUACUUAUGAUGUUUGUUCUUAAGGUCAGUCUAUAUACAGUAGUUAACACAUAUAUGUAAUCUCAUCAGUGUAUGUUUGGACUACACAAUAUAAUGUUUUAGCACCGCACAAUGCCGUAUAUUAUUCAAUGCACAGCGCUAGAUUAUGAAACAUAUGUUGUUACUGAACUGUGCAAUAAAUAGUCAAAUACG